GGAGCAAUACCCAAGUGGUUGUAAGGGGGCUCAUUGCUAACGAGUUAGGUUGGGAUUAUUCCUGGCGCAUGGGUUCGAAUCCCGUUUGCUCCGCCA
rnacentral:tRNA from 1 species